rnacentral:rRNA from 1 species
AACGCUAGCUACAGGCUUAACACAUGCAAGUCGAGGGGCAGCAUGGUCUUAGCUUGCUAAGGCCGAUGGCGACCGGCGCACGGGUGAGUAACACGUAUCCAACCUGCCGUCUACUCUUGGACAGCCUUCUGAAAGGAAGAUUAAUACAAGAUGGCAUCAUGAGUCCACAUGUUCACAUGAUUAAAGGUAUUCCGGCAGACGAUGGGGAUGCGUUCCAUUAGAUAGUAGGCGGGGUAACGGCCCACCUAGUCUUCGAUGGAUAGGGGUUCUGAGAGGAAGGUCCCCCACAUUGGAACUGAGACACGGUCCAAACUCCUACGGGAGGCAGCAGUGAGGAAUAUUGGUCAAUGGGCGAGAGCCUGAACCAGCCAAGUAGCGUGAAGGAUGACUGCCCUAUGGGUUGUAAACUUCUUUUAUAAAGGAAUAAAGUCGGGUAUGGAUACCCGUUUGCAUGUACUUUAUGAAUAAGGAUCGGCUAACUCCGUGCCAGCAGCCGCGGUAAUACGGAGGAUCCGAGCGUUAUCCGGAUUUAUUGGGUUUAAAGGGAGCGUAGAUGGAUGUUUAAGUCAGUUGUGAAAGUUUGCGGCUCAACCGUAAAAUUGCAGUUGAUACUGGAUAUCUUGAGUGCAGUUGAGGCAGGCGGAAUUCGUGGUGUAGCGGUGAAAUGCUUAGAUAUCACGAAAAACUCCGAUUGCGAAGGCAGCCUGCUAAGCUGCAACUGACAUUGAGGCUCGAAAGUGUGGGUAUCAAACAGGAAUUAGAUACCCUGGUAGUCCACACGGUAAACGAUGAAUACUCGCUGUUUGCGAUAUACAGCAAGCGGCCAAGCAAAAGCGUUAAGUAUUCCACCUGGGGAGUACGCCGGCAACGGUGAAACUCAAAGGAAUUGACGGGGGCCCGCACAAGCGGAGGAACAUGUGGUUUAAUUCGAUGAUACGCGAGGAACCUUACCCGGGCUUAAAUUGCAGAUGAAUUACGGUGAAAGCCGUAAGCCGCAAGGCAUCUGUGAAGGUGCUGCAUGGUUGUCGUCAGCUCGUGCCGUGAGGUGUCGGCUUAAGUGCCAUAACGAGCGCAACCCUUGUUGUCAGUUACUAACAGGUUCCGCUGAGGACUCUGACAAGACUGCCAUCGUAAGAUGUGAGGAAGGUGGGGAUGACGUCAAAUCAGCACGGCCCUUACGUCCGGGGCUACACACGUGUUACAAUGGGGGGUACAGAGGGCCGCUACCACGCGAGUGGAUGCCAAUCCCAAAAACCUCUCUCAGUUCGGACUGGAGUCUGCAACCCGACUCCACGAAGCUGGAUUCGCUAGUAAUCGCGCAUCAGCCACGGCGCGGUGAAUACGUUCCCGGGCCUUGUACACACCGCCCGUCAAGCCAUGGGAGCCGGGGGUACCUGAAGUGCGUAACCGCGAGGAGCGCCCUAGGGUAAAACUGGUGACUG